rnacentral:lncRNA from 1 species
CCAGCUCACUGCUGAGCAGCCAUCAGUAUCCUGAACAUGGGUUGGUGAGGCUUGCACAGCUUUAUAAAAUCAGUCCCGCUUGGAAGCAGCGAUUGGCACACAGCCUUAGUGUUCAGUGUACAAUUAGAACAUUAAUUUUAUGUUUGCAUUAUGUUUCCUAACGAUAGACAAAACUGUGGACUAUCUUUUCUAUCUUCUGUCUUUACACUUCCUUCCACUCCAACACCAUGAAGAGCUGAUAAAUGGCGAUUAGUCUCCUUUACUGGGCUCCGCCGCUCCAGGCCUGGAGAACACAGCACCCCCUGCAGCGAGAUGAACGGUAUAGCCAAGCUGUCUCUUCACUCAGGACCGCAGACUAACACUGAAGAGGAGUUGUUAGUUCCGGCUCUUCCAGAGAAGACUGAUAUAGAGAGGGGUUAUGUGACUCCUCAGCAAGUGUACAACCUGCUAAAUGCUGAAGCUGGUGAGCCAGCACUUCACGACCCAUACUAUAUCCUCAUACUGGACUGCCGCCCUGCCGACAGGUAUAAGCAAAGUCACCUGGUGACAGCACGAGCAAGUGUGACGGUAAUUCACCCAGAACUAGGCUGUCUGAUAAGCUGCGUCCAGCUACAGGAGUUCUCCAUCAUUUUGCUUUACGCAGAAGAAGGACACAGUCCAGGUACCAGUCUCCUCAAAAACCAGC